rnacentral:rRNA from 1 species
GAUCCUGGCUCAGGACGAACGCUGGCGGCGUGCUUAACACAUGCAAGUCGAACGGAGCACCCUUGACUGAGGUUUCGGCCAAAUGAUAGGAAUGCUUAGUGGCGGACUGGUGAGUAACGCGUGAGGAACCUGCCUUUCAGAGGGGGACAACAGUUGGAAACGACUGCUAAUACCGCAUGAUGCGUAACUGGGACAUCCCGGACGUACGCCAAACGAAUUUUAUUUCGCUGAAAGAAUGGCCGUCCGCG